UGGGGAAUAUUGCACAAUGGGCGCAAGCCUGAUGCAGCCAUGCCGCGUGUAUGAAGAAGGCCUUUGGGUUGUAAAGUACUUUCAGCGAGGAGGAAGGCGGUAAGGUUAAUAACCUUAUCGAUUGACGUUACUCGCAGAAGAAGCACCGGCUAACUCCGUGCCAGCAGCCGCGGUAAUACGGAGGGUGCAAGCGUUAAUCGGAAUUACAGGGCGUAAAGCGCACGCAGGCGGUCUGUCAAGUCGGAUGUGAAAUCCCCGGGCUCAACCUGGGAACUGCAUUCGAAACUGGCAGGCUAGAGUCUUGUAGAGGGGGGUAGAAUUCCAGGUGUAGCGGUGAAAUGCGUAGAGAUCUGGAGGAAUACCGGUGGCGAAGGCGGCCCCCUGGACAAAGACUGACGCUCAGGUGCGAAAGCGUGGGGAGCAAACA
rnacentral:rRNA from 1 species